ACAGAUGUACUAACCCUUCAUGCAGUCAAUGAAUGUUUUACUGAAUAAAUGUUUGUUGAAUGAAAAAAAAAAAGAACAAACAAAUAAACUGGCUAAAAAAUUAAACAGGGAAGAAUGUGAACCAAACAGACAUAGAAAAGACUGUUGGGCUAUCAUCAUCAUCAUCACCAUCCAAGCAGGAAGGCUGUGUACAAUAACUCACAAAGAUGUUGAAGGAUUGAACUGGUGCAGACCAUCAGAACAGAAAGAAAAAGCCAGCUGUGAGAGCUUGGGUAAUCCAUGUUGGUGUAGAGGAGCCAGAAGGGAAAGACUUUGAAUAUAGCGGAGAACUUUCACAUGUUGAAUGCUGAAAGCAUUAUGUGUCUUUGAACAAUUUUAUAAUCCCUCAUACAGAACUUGUAUCCUUUACAAAGAACACUAAGGAGGAUCAUACUAAAAUAAGGAAAAACUAGAUAGACGAAAUCAUUUGUUUUAAUACUACAACAAUGAACUCUUUGUUAGUGAGAACUGGUAACAUCUAAGGAAAUAAGUAGAAUACAGGACAGGGCAUUUUUUAAUUGGUUGCCUGGAAAGUCACUGAAAGUAGUAAGCCAUGUUAACUUAAUGCAUGCUGUUAGAUGUGAAAAAUGUCAUCUUAUCCAUUGCCCAGCAGAAACAGUCAGGGUGAAGGGAAAACAUUAAUAGGCUAAACAAGAAGUUCAUGGUUUAAAACGAGAGUCUGAACAGUUGCAUCCUUUAACAGCCACAUAUACUGUAUGGGCAAACGCAGGAAAAACAAUCCAUUGAAAUGUAUUUAGAAUUAAACAAGCAAACAACAACAACAACAGCAAACCCCUUGGAAUGUUACCCAGUUCCAUCAGUUGUUAUUCACUCAUUUAAGAAAUAAUGUUGGGUUAUCUGAAUGAUUUGCCAUGGCUUUCCUGUAUGCACUAGUUUGUUGAUUUCUAAAGUUGAACCCCAGAGGCAGAGCUUCACAGGGAGGAAGCAUUCUAGUACAGGGCCUCUUUCGCAAAACCUCCCAGGACCGGGUGAGGACACUCCCACAGAUUGCAUCUAUUGGGUGUCCACUGCAAAAUCUGCCUGACUGAAUUCUUUCUGAGAAUAGCUCAUGCGCUCCUCUUGAGCAAUACUUGUUUGUUUACUUGUUCUAAAGAGCAAGGAGAUGACACAGGACAGAUUGGACAACUGGCCAAUAGUGUCCCAGAGGACUUCCAGGGUGGAAUAUGUCUUCCAAUCAGAAAGAGGAGAGGCGGGACAGGCCUGAGGAGGUGAACUACUUCUCAGUGUGACUUGCCCUCCAUAUUGAGUGUGGCAAAAAUAACCCUAAUGUGUUCUAGAGCAGGUUAAUGUUUCGCGCCCCGUUUGACAGAUUCUUAGAAAUAGCUAGCAUGAUUUACAGCUGCGUUACUCAAUAAUGCUGUGAUGUCAUAUUCAAUUCUUAUCGGUUAAAUUAUUUCCCCCAUGAUUAUGGUCAUUUAAUGUUAUGGAAAAAGGAAUAGGGUAAGAGUUAUUUAAAACUGACACUGCUUGGCUUCCUACAAUGAUUAUUUGAUAGUUUAAAAGCACCAGGAGAUUCCUGGAGAAAACACUAAAUAACAUGUGCUUUUGCUUUCCCCUUUUUUAUGGGUUGUUUCAAGGAACUGUAAUAUUUGUUAUUCAACUAAAAAUAAAUCAUACUAUGUUUAUAUUA